CAGGUCUCCGCAGGGGUGUCCCCCGCUCCCCCAAGCUGCAGACUUUGGCCGCAGGUCCGGAAAGGGAUGUAGAGGAUACCGAGGCACUGGACGACCCCGAGGACGUGCAAACACACCCAGGAGCGUCUCCGUCUUCGUCAUCUCCUCCCGAAGAUACUUUAUGUCUUCCUCCAACUUCGUCUGGAUACACAAACACAGGCCUCAGAAGUUGUGGCCACAGGUAGUCAUCACAGGAUCGAUGAAGUAGUCGAGGCAGAUGGAACAUGUGGCCUCUUCUUGCAGCCUUCUGGCAAGUUCCACAGCAUCCAUGGCUCCUGGGGAGAAACAAGGGGAGGUUUCCACUGUAACCCCCUGGCAGGCAGAAGCACACAACUGGCGCCCCAUGUCUGCCUCCUCUGUUGCUCCUUCAUGGAUGAGGACAAACGCUGGUGUCCAAAUGUGGCAUACAAAGACACUCUGAACAAAUGCUAGCCAGACCCCUGAACCUUGGCUGCUACGUGUGAACUUGGUCCCUAGGUCAGCUUAGCCACAAGCUCCUUCCCAUGCCUUCUGGGACUCCCCAGCUGUUGUGCAUCUGCAGUCAAGUCCCACCUCAGCCCUAGGGCCACACUCCCACCCCAAAAGGCUGCCACAGAGUCAAGUGCCAGAGUACUGAUGUUAGCAAACCCCUGGUAAAGCAAAGGGACUUAUAAAGGAAGGGCGAUCCUUUCUGUUAGGGUGCAACGCAGAAAUGACAACACAAGACACACAGACAGAGGGGCUCCGUGCAGACACAUGGACACACGAACACAUGCACGCACAAACACAGGGGCUGCGUGUAGACAUGUAGACACGUGGGCAUACACACUUGCACACGGGUAAACAUGUUUGUAACUACACACGAACACGUCUACACAGAAAACGUGCAAGCACACUUCCACAGUGACAAGCACAGGCAUGUGAACAUACACAAGAAAGGAUCCAGGAAUAAGACUAUAAAAAUGUAGAUUCCAGAAAUAGGAGUGUAAAAAUAAAGAGAUAUAAAGUUGUGAGCCUAGGAGAAUGAGAACAGACUCUCAGCAGCUUCCUCAGCAGCUUAAGGGUUAACUACUAACAGCGGGUUACUUCACUUUACAACCCAGAGCUCUGCACACUGAAAGCUGGCCUACGGAUAUGAGCUGAGUCAACUUUUAGGAAAUAGAUCUAUGACCUCUGGGUUACGCAUUAUCCCUGCUAUGUGAAACUGGCAGCCUCAAAGGGAAGACACAGGGCUUCAGUAAGCACUAUCUGGAAGUGCCCAGGAAGACAAUAGGCAAAGCACAAACAUUAGUUUAACUGAAAAAUGAAGAUUGUAAAGUAAGGUAACCUAUAUCUGAGUUUUACCUUGAGAUUAUGUGAGAAGUUUUUUACUAUCUUCUAAGUUCCCAGCCUAAGAACCAAUUAUUCUAAUUUAUUAACCCUCUGAUAUUACUAGCAGUCCCUUUUCCUGACUAAUUGCUAAAGACAUCUGUUUUCUUGCAAUUAGUGACUUUCACUGUAAUUUCCUCUGAAACAUAUUUCAGGAUAGCUGCCUAGUUACCCUUGACUAACCCACGGUUGGGGCAAGAUCAUAAAAAUUCCUUUGUUCAGCCCUAAUGCUUGGUGUCCCUACUAUAAAAAGUGGGUCCAGAAACCGGCUGUUUGCCACAGCCUAACAAACACCAUCUCUGGCUGUGGUCUCAGCUAGCUGAGUGUGCCCCGUGUUGUUGUUAUUAUUAUUAUUAUUAUU